rnacentral:rRNA from 1 species
CCCAAUGACGUCUCUAGAAGGCAUCUGAAAGAGAUUAAAGAUUUAUCGGUGAUGGAUGGGGAUGCGUCUGAUUAGCUUGUUGGCGGGGUAACGGCCCACCAAGGCAACGAUCAGUAGGGGUUCUGAGAGGAAGGUCCCCCACAUUGGAACUGAGACACGGUCCAAACUCCUACGGGAGGCAGCAGUGAGGAAUAUUGGUCAAUGGACGAGAGUCUGAACCAGCCAAGUAGCGUGCAGGAGGACGGCCCUAUGGGUUGUAAACUGCUUUUAUAAGGGAAUAAAGUGAGUCUCGUGAGACUUUUUGCAUGUACCUUAUGAAUAAGGACCGGCUAAUUCCGUGCCAGCAGCCGCGGUAAUACGGAAGGUCCGGGCGUUAUCCGGAUUUAUUGGGUUUAAAGGGAGCGUAGGCCGGAGAUUAAGCGUGUUGUGAAAUGUAGACGCUCAACGUCUGCACUGCAGCGCGAACUGGUUUCCUUGAGUACGCACAAAGUGGGCGGAAUUCGUGGUGUAGCGGUGAAAUGCUUAGAUAUCACGAAGAACUCCGAUUGCGAAGGCAGCUCACUGGAGCGCAACUGACGCUGAAGCUCGAAAGUGCGGGUAUCGAACAGGAUUAGAUACCCUGGUAGUCCGCACGGU